rnacentral:rRNA from 1 species
AACGAACGCUGGCGGCAUGCCUAACACAUGCAAGUCGAACGAGACCUUCGGGUCCAGUGGCGCCUGGGUGUGUAACGCGUGGGAACCUGCCCUUAGGUUUGGCCUAACUCUCCGAAAGGGGUGCUAAUACCGGAUAAUGUCUUCGGACCAAAGAUUUAUUGACCUUGGUGGGGCCCGAGUUGGAUUAGCUGGUUGGUAGGGUAAAAGACUACUAAGGGGACAAUCCAUAGCUGGUCAGUGAGAAUGGUUAGCGACACUGAGACUAGGACACGGCCCAGACUCCUACGCGAUGCAGGAGUGGGUGAUAGUGCACAGUCGGGGGAGGGCUGAUCGAGCAAUGCCGCGUAAGUGAUGAAAGCCGGAGAGUUGUAAAGCUCUUGUACCCGUGAUGAUAAUGACAGUACCGGAAGAAUAAGCUCCGGCUAACUCCGUG